AUUUUUGCUAUAGUGGGCUGAAAGCACCUGAUCUCCUCUCAAUUUGGAAGCUAAGCAGACCAGGACCUGUGAAUAGCUGGUUGGGCGAAAAUC
rnacentral:rRNA from 1 species